AUUGAACGCUGGCGGCAUGCCUUACACAUGCAAGUCGAACGGUAACGCGGGGGCAACCCUGGCGACGAGUGGCGAACGGGUGAGUAAUACAUCGGAACGUACCCAGUAGUGGGGGAUAGCCCGGCGAAAGCCGGAUUAAUACCGCAUACGCACUACGGUGGAAAGCGGGGGACCGCAAGGCCUCGCGCUAUUGGAGCGGCCGAUGGCAGAUUAGCUAGUUGGUGGGGUAAAAGCCUACCAAGGCGACGAUCUGUAGCUGGUCUGAGAGGACGACCAGCCACACUGGGACUGAGACACGGCCCAGACUCCUACGGGAGGCAGCAGUGGGGAAUUUUGGACAAUGGGGGCAACCCUGAUCCAGCAAUGCCGCGUGUGUGAAGAAGGCCUUCGGGUUGUAAAGCACUUUUGUCCGGAAAGAAAUCUGUCGGGCUAAUACCUCGACGGGAUGACGGUACCGGAAGAAUAAGCACCGGCUAACUACGUG
rnacentral:rRNA from 1 species